CCUACGGGAGGCUGCAGUGAGGAAUAUUGGUCAAUGGGCGCGAGUCUGAACCAGCCAAGUAGCGUGAAGGAUGACUGCCCUACGGGUUGUAAACUUCUUUUAUAAAGGAAUAAAGCGAGGCACGUGUGCCUUUUUGCAUGUACUUUAUGAAUAAGGAUCGGCUAACUCCGUGCCAGCAGCCGCGGUAAUACGGAGGAUCCGAGCGUUAUCCGGAUUUAUUGGGUUUAAAGGGAGCGUAGAUGGGUUGUUAGGUCAGUUGUGAAAGUUUGCGGCUCAACCGUAAAAUUGCAAUUGAUACUGGCAGCCUUGAGUACAGUUGAGGUAGGCGGAAUUCGUGGUGUAGCGGUGAAAUGCUUAGAUAUCACGAAGAACUCCGAUUGCGAAGGCAGCUUACUAAACUGCGACUGACAUUGAUGCUCGAAAGUGUGGGUAUCAAACAGGAUUAGAUACCCCUGUAGUC
rnacentral:rRNA from 1 species